rnacentral:rRNA from 1 species
GAUGAACGCUGACAGAAUGCUUAACACAUGCAAGUCAACUUGAAUUUGGGUUUUUAACUUAGGUUUGGGUGGCGGACGGGUGAGUAACGCGUAAAGAACUUGCCUCACAGCUAGGGACAACAUUUGGAAACGAAUGCUAAUACCUAAUAUUAUGAUAAUAGGGCAUCCUAUAAUUAUGAAAGCUAUAAGCGCUGUGAGAGAGCUUUGCGUCCCAUUAGCUAGUUGGAGAGGUAACGGCUCACCAAGGCGAUGAUGGGUAGCCGGCCUGAGAGGGUGAUCGGCCACAAGGGGACUGAGACACGGCCCUUACUCCUACGGGAGGCAGCAGUGGGGAAUAUUGGACAAUGGACCAAGAGUCUGAUCCAGCAAUUCUGUGUGCACGAUGAAGUUUUUCGGAAUGUAAAGUGCUUUCAGUUGGGAAGAAAAAAAUGACGGUACCAACAGAAGAAGUGACGGCUAAAUACGUGCCAGCAGCCGCGGUAAUACGUAUGUCACGAGCGUUAUCCGGAUUUAUUGGGCGUAAAGCGCGUCUAGGUGGUUAUAUAAGUCUGAUGUGAAAAUGCAGGGCUCAACUCUGUAUUGCGUUGGAAACUGUAUAACUAGAGUACUGGAGAGGUAAGCGGAACUACAAGUGUAGAGGUGAAAUUCGUAGAUAUUUGUAGGAAUGCCGAUGGGGAAGCCAGCUUACUGGACAGAUACCGACGCUGAAGCGCGAAAGCGUGGGUAGCAAACAGG